AUUGAACGCUGGCGGCAGGCCUAACACAUGCAAGUCGAGCGGGGUUUUCGGACCUAGCGGCGGACGGGUGAGCAAUGCGUAGGAAGCUGCCCGAUAGAGGGGGAUACCAGUUGGAAACGACUGUUAAUACCGCAUAAUGUCUACGGACCAAAGUGUGGGACCUUCGGGCCACAUGCUAUCGGAUGCGCCUACGUGGGGUUAGCUAGUUGGUGAGGUAAUGGCUCACCAAGGCGACGAUCUCUAGCUGGUUUGAGAGGAUGAUCAGCCAGACUGGAAGGGAGACACGGCUGAGACGCUGACGGGAGGGAGCAGUGGGGAAUAUGGGACAAUGGGCGCAAGUCUGAUCCAGCAAUGCCGCGGGUGUGCAGAAGGCCUUCGGGGUGGGAAGCACUUUCAGCGAGGAGGAAGGGUUGUGUGUUAAUAGUACACAGCUUUGACGUUACUCGCAGAAGAAGCACCGGCUAACUCUGUGCCAGCCGCCGCCGUAACAC
rnacentral:rRNA from 1 species